rnacentral:rRNA from 1 species
AUUGAACGCUGACGGCAGGCCUAACACAUGCAAGUCGAACGAGUGGCGGACGGGUGAGUAAUGUCUGGGAAACUGCCUAAUAGAGGGGGGUAACUACUAGAAACGGUAGCUAAUACCGCAUACCAUCAGAUGUGCCCAGAUGGGAUUAGCUUGUUGGGGGGGUACCGGCUCACCAAGGCGACGAGCCCUAGCUGGUCUGAGAGGUUGACCAGCCACACUGGAACUGAGACACGGUCCAGACUCCUACGGGAGGCAGCAGUGGGGAAUAUUGCACAAUGGGCGCAAGCCUGAUGCAGCCAUGCCGCGUGUAUGAAGAAGGCCUUCGUGUGGUAAAGUACUUUCAGCGGGGAGGCGUUACCCGCAGAAGAAGCACCGGCUAACUCCGUGCCAGCAGCCGCGGUAAUUC